rnacentral:rRNA from 1 species
UACGUAGGGUGCAAGCGUUAAUCGGAAUUACUGGGCGUAAAGCGUGCGCAGGCGGUUUUGUAAGACUGUCGUGAAAUCCCCGGGCUCAACCUGGGAAUGGCGAUGGUGACUGCAAGGCUAGAGUUUGGCAGAGGGGGGUAGAAUUCCACGUGUAGCAGUGAAAUGCGUAGAUAUGUGGAGGAACACCAAUGGCGAAGGCAGCCCCCUGGGUCAAGACUGACGCUCAUGCACGAAAGCGUGGGGAGCAAACAGG